rnacentral:tRNA from 1 species
GGGACUGAACAGCAUCGAACCUCCAUGGCAUGGAGGGGGUCAGGGGUUCGAGUCCCCUCAGCUCCACCA